AGCAGCCGCGGUAAUUCCAGCUCCAAUAGCGUAUAUUAAAGUUGUUGCAGUUAAAAAGCUCGUAGUUGAAUUUCGGGAUCAAUAUAUCGGUCGUGCCUCGGUACGUACUGGUAUCAUUGGUUUCUCCUUUCUGACGAACCAUGAUGUCAUUAAUUUGGUGUUAUGGGAAGUUAGGACUGUUACUUUGAAAAAAUUAGAGUGUUUAAAGCAGGCUCGCGCUUGAAUACAUUAGCAUGGAAUAAUGAAAUAGGACGUUUGAUUCUAUUUUGUUGGUUUCUAGGACCGACGUAAUGAUUAAUAGGGAUAGUUGGGGGCAUUAGUAUUCAAUUGUCAGAGGUGAAAUUCUUGGAUUUAUUGAAGACUAACUACUGCGAAAGCAUUUGCCAAGGAUGUUUUCAUUAAUCAAGAACGAAAGUUAGGGGAUCGAAGACGAUCAGAUACCGUCGUAGUCUUAACCAUAAACUAUGCCGACUAGGGAUCGGAUGAUGUUAAUUUUUUCAAUGACCCAUUCGGCGCCUUA
rnacentral:misc_RNA from 1 species